UGUAGUGUUUACUCAUUAUAGGA
rnacentral:siRNA from 1 species